ACCUUCCCGACCGUGGUGGAUAACCUGCCGAAAGGCGGGCUAAUACAGCAUGUGACCCGGACGCUACGGCGGCCGGGUGAAAGCAGGCCUCUCUAGAGAAGCUUGCGCGGUCGGUUGGGCCCGCGUCCUAUCAGCUAGUUGGAGAGGUAACGGCUCACCAAGGCGACGACGGGUAGCUGGUCUGAGAGGAUGGCCAGCCACACUGGAACUGAGACACGGUCCAG
rnacentral:rRNA from 1 species